UUUAAAGGGUUAUUAAAUAAUAGGCUUUCAAAGGGUUAAGUCUAAGUUAAAAAGGGCUGAAAUUGCGUAACUCUUAUGAGGCUUUUUUUAUUUUAAUUUUUCUGUUUCUAAAACUUCCUAACAUCAAAUUAUGAUACCUUAAAAAUAAAAAUUCCCAAUUUCCCACAAAUUAUGAACCCUAAAAAAAAUUCCUAGAUUCCUAACUUCAAUCUUCUUGCUACUGCUCUCAAUCUUCAAUUAUCACCCUUCUUCUUGCUCGCCGCUCUCAAUCUCGGAUUCCGUCAUAUCACUUCAAUUACUAAGAUUGAUGUGGAUUGCUAAUUUGUUGAUGAAGCAAAGUGAAAUUCUUGGAUUUUUGUUUUAUUAAAUAAGGUUUUCUGAUUUUGAUUGCAAAGAUUUUUUUUUAGGUGUUUUGGCUUUUAUGGGUUUAUUUUUGAUUCAAUGUUGUGCUAUGAAAUUAUUGUACAACUAUUGCGUAGCAUCCUCUCUGUUUUUCCUACUUCACUAUAUUCUUCUUGUAUCAUACAUUUUUAAUUUGCUUGUUUAAAUAAUUUGUAGUACACCAAAUACGAGCUUGUGGAUGCUAUGGCAUUUUUAAUUUGCUUGCUUAAAUAAUUUGCAGUACACCAAAUACGAGCAUAUGGAUGCUAUGGCUAGCAAUGGGUUUAUUUACGAUGUACUCCAUAAUUAGUAUCAUUGCAACUCCAAGGCUAAGCAAAAAAAAAAAAAAAAUAAAGACUUGGAUAGUGUUUUGCUAAUUGGAACAGUGGGUUAAUAAUAUAUGGUUCGGAUGAGACUAUGUAUAAAGUUGAAAAAGUGUUGAACACUUUAAGAUCUUUGUGUAAUGAGUAUAAGUCAACAUUUUCAACUUCCCCAAUUGUUGCUCCCUCUACUACAAGUAGUAGGAUUGAAGAUGAAAACUUCUUUGAUGAUUAUCAAAGCUUUAGUUCAAGAAUUACAAGGACUCAAACAAAAAAGUCCCAACUUGAGUCAUAUUUGAAGGAACAGGAGCUUGAUUUGAACAUGGAGCUAAGAGUAUUGGCAACAAAAUGUAGUGAGAUUUCCGAAGCUUGCAAUAUUGGCACGAGAUAAACGAUUUCGAUUAGUAUGGUGGCUUCCGAGUCGGCUUUUAGUGUAGGGGGGAAAACUAUAUCUCCUGAUCGUAGCUCAUUGAAACCCUCAACGGUUCAAGCCCUAGUUUGUGUUCAAGAUUGGCGCCGUGAUGAAUAUAACAUCCCUUCAAAUUUGGAUCGUGAUUCUAGCUCGGACGAUGAUGAGGCCGUUGAUGAUGGAAAUGAUGAUGAUGAGGUUGAUGAUAGUUUCCUAUACUAGGUAAUUGUUUUGAUUUUUCUACUUAUUAUUAUAAUCUUGCUGUUUUUCUUGGUAUAAAUCAAUAUCAUGGAGUUCCAUCUUCAUUGUAAGCUUACUGCCUUUAGUUUCUGCUUUUAUAUGUGUCUGCAUUGUCUCUCUUUAAAUGCACUUACCGCCAACAUAGUAUAACACUCAUUUUGGCUCCUAUGCUUAUAAUUAGUGAUUGGCAUUGAUUUAACUGAAAUUUUAAAUGGUCUAAUUACAAGUAAAGGGCAACCUACCAUGGAAAGGCCUGCAAGACUGAGGAUUGCCCUUGGAGCUGCAAAAGGAUUAGCAUAUUUGCAUAGUUAUAACUCUCAUAGUACUAUAGUAGGUGAUAUGAACUAUUUUCAUAAUACAAUGUGCUGGAUUUCAAAUUUUAUUGUCCGAGAUUUAUCCUGUACUUUUCCAGAGUUUUACAAUAUCAAUAUAUUUUCUUUGUAAUUUUAUUUCUAAGGCCCUUUAUAAGGCCCCUAGGCCCUUUAUAAUUCUCUUAUAUUGUGUUUUCAUGGUUGUUGUAGUUUGUUUAUACAUUUUGAAUGGGCUGGGCCGGGCUGGGCUUAAUGGCUCAUGGACAAGCGCGACCCUUUUCGGAUUAGGCUUGGCUUGGCUCGGCCCGUCCCAUUUCAUAUAAAGCCCAUCUCGGCCUGUUGAACAGGUCUAAUGUUCAUUAACUUCAUUCAUUCAUCGUUUGAUUCCUCAAGCUAGUCACCUGUGCGUAGAAAAAAAUGCAUAAUAAGAAUACAAAAACUAUACGAAGUAGAAUGAAAAGUAUCAUCAUAAAUACAUAUAAACAUGAAGAAUGACAAUCAACCAGAUUUUCAAAAGCAAGGAAGUACUAAUUUCAGCAAGCAAAAUGCAGAGAAUUCACAAGUUCAAAUUAACAAUCAACAUUUUCAACGUUUCAUAACAAAAUUAAAUUACAUAAUUAUAAAAGGAAUAAAAUUGAUGGGUAAAUUACCUGGACGAGUGAACGGAGGAAAUUAACGAGUAUAGUUUGAACAAAAUGAUAGAUUAUGCUAGGAUAAUUGACCAAUUAACAAAUGAAUUUCCUUGAAUCUGAAAAUUUUGAUGAUAAAGGGGUUGUUUGGUAAGUAGCUUUUUGUAUAGCUUUUUGCUUUUGGAAGUGGUCAAACAGCCAAAAUUUAUGUUUGGUUAAUUGGCUUUUUGGUUGGCUAAAAAGCCAGCUUUUCCGCCAAAAGCUAGUGAGAGUAGCUUUUUUGGGUUAGCUUUUGGCUUAAAUGAUAACUAUUACAAUUUUAUCCCUGAUUAACACCUAUUACCAUUCUUAUCAAUUACCUUUCUCUCUCCUAAAACAAAAAACCCCAAUAUACUACUAAUACACUACAGAGAUAAUUUGGGAGAAGUUUAGGUGAACGUGGAGUGGCGGAAGCGGCGGAGCAUAAAUUCAUAAUCAAGCUUCGGCAAAUGCAUGACUACAUUAUUCGGAAAAUGCAAAAUUUGAAAUCUUUCGUGAUGAAGGAAUCGAACCUGAGCUUAAAUACAAAAUGGACCAAGUUUUUGGGGGAUGUGCCCAAGGAGCCGAAAAGUUUACUCCAAUGGUCGAUCCUCCUACAAUAGAUGAUGAAGCAUAUGUUCCUUCUCCACCCAUUAGUUUUCGUCACGCUCAUUCUCCUUAUGUUAAUGAUUAUGAUGAAGUAGGUUCUAAUUUGGGAAAUGAAUGGGAUGCAAUGUGGAGGGAACAAAGCCCUUCAUCCCCUAACCCCAUAUCCACCCCUAAUGAGAUCAAUGAUAAAGGAAAAGGGAAAAGGGUAAUGGAGAGUGGUUUCCUUUCAAGUAACAAAAGUGCAAGGUUUGAAAAAUAUAAAAAGUCUAGAAGGAGUGCUGCCCUUAGUGAUAAAAUUGAUGAAAUGAUGGAAAUAAUUUAUGAGAGGAAUAGUUCCACAAAAGAGUUUCAAACUGCUAUGGUGAAAAUGAUGAAUUAUAUGAAUAUUGCUACACCAAAAUAUAGUGUGACUGAUGCUAUGGUUAAGUUGUGUUCCAUGGAUGAUUUUUAUUCCAGCUCACCUGAAUUUUACUAUGCUUGUACACUCAUUGAAGAUCCACAAAGAAGGACAAUCUUUUUAGAAUUUCCGGAUGAUAAGAAAAGAGUUGAAUACAUAAGGUUUAUGUAUGCACAAAAUGUGGGGCACAAGUGAUAUGUGCUACUGACUUUACUAACUACUUAGAAUUGCAUAUGGUAACUUUUGAAUUAAAUUAAGAAUAUUACCAUAUGCACUUUUGGAAUUUUAUGCUAUCUUUUUUUUUGUUAGAACUUGCUCUAAAAUGGCUCUUUAAGCCCAUAAUUUAUAUAUAUCUCAUUGCAAAACAAAAAGAAAUAGGAAAUGUUGUACGCAUCCCUAACCCUUAUAUAUGUUUUAGAGAAAAAUUGUAUGGGUGUUAAUGGGAUUACUUUUACUACUUUUGUUGGAUGAUUGAAAUUCAUCCUUGUUUUGUAAAUUUAAAUCUUAUAUAUAUCAUACUAAUAUUAGUUAUGUUAUGUAAUUGAUUUUGAAA